rnacentral:rRNA from 1 species
GGSGGAKGCUUAMCAUGCAGUCGACGGGGUGCUUCGGCACCUAGUGGCGGACGGGUGAGUAACGCGUGAGAAUCUGCCUACAGGUUCGGGACAACAGUUGGAAACGACUGCUAAUACCGGAUGUGCCGAGAGGUGAAAGCUUGAUGUGCCUGUAGAUGAGCUCGCGUCCGAUUAGCUAGUUGGUGAGGUAAGGGCUCACCAAGGCGGUGAUCGGUAGCUGGUCUGAGAGGAUGAUCAGCCACACUGGGACUGAGACACGGCCCAGACUCCUACGGGAGGCAGCAGUGGGGAAUUUUCCGCAAUGGGCGAAAGCCUGACGGAGCAAUACCGCGUGAGGGAGGAAGGCUUUUGGGUCGUAAACCUCUUUUAUUGGGGAAGAAGAUCUGACGGUACCCAAUGAAUCAGCAUCGGCUAACUCCGUGCCAGCAGCCGCGGUAAUACGGAGGAUGCAAGCGUUAUCCGGAAUUAUUGGGCGUAAAGCGUCCGCAGGUGGUUUUACAAGUCUGCUGUCAAAGCGUGCGGCUUAACCGCAUAUCGGCAGUGGAAACUGUGAGACUAGAGUUUGGUAGGGGUCACGGGAAUUCCCAGUGUAGCGGUGAAAUGCGUAGAUAUUGGGAAGAACACCAGCGGCGAAAGCGCGUGACUGGGCCUGAACUGACACUCAUGGACGAAAGCUAGGGGAGCGAAAGGGAUUAGAUACCCCUGUAGUCCUAGSUGUAAACGAWGACAACUAGGUGUUGCGCGURUCGACCCGAGCCKKGCCCGAAGCKCAMCSAKUCGCUUGCAURUGUUAAGCAGAMCGCCGCAUKCRUCCGMGMCAGAUCACACWAUG